GAUGAAGAACGUAGCGAAAUGCGAUAAGUAAUGUGAAUUGCAGAAUUCAGUGAAUCAUCGAAUCUUUGAACGCACAUUGCGCCCUCUGGUAUUCCGGGGGGCAUGCCUGUUCGAGCGUCAUUAUAACCACUCAAGCUCUCGCUUGGUAUUGGGGCUCGCGGUUCCGCGGCCCCUAAAAUCAGUGGCGGUGCCUGUCGGCUCUACGCGUAGUAAUACUCCUCGCGAUUGAGUCCGGUAGGUCUACUUGCCAGCAACCCCCAAUUUUUACAGGUUGACCUCGGAUCAGGUAGGGAUACCCGCUGAACUUAAGCAUAUCAAUAAGAGGAGGA
rnacentral:misc_RNA from 1 species